GGAAAAACAGCUAUGAGCAUAAUAACAAAGGUUAUUCCUAACAGAUUGAUUUGGGAAUGUCUACACAAAAAACAUUUUACAAAGGAGGUCAAUCUUAUUUUCCUAUUCCUAACUCUUAUUUUUAAUGAACCAAAGCCACAAAAGUAGUGAGUAAGCUUGUUCUGUUGUCUGUAUUUUGUGGUGGAUAUGAGACAUAUGGGGUAUCUUACUUUUAAUAGGGUCAAAUAAUUACAUGUGAAAAAUACAGUCUGUGGCACCAGUGUAAAAUUUGGUGAUGAAUGUUUUAACAGUUAUUUUUGUUUUAUUUGGACAGUAGCGUUUUUGUGUCAGUUAAUCUAAAUCAAUGUCAGGGAAAAACAGACUUUAUGAUUUGCAAAAAAAUAAAAUAAAAAUCUUGGUUAGCCUUCAUAGCCCAGUGAACAGAGGCACAAACAGCUAACAUUAGCUAGCAUGUCGCUGGUGGACAUAAAUACAGGACAGUACUAUUCUGUUCACAAAAUACAAACAAUAAUAUGUCCAUCUUACUUGUCAAAAGUUAUCCUCCGAGCCCCGACGUCAAUAGUCCGUCGAUUUGAACAAUAUGCCCACAGCGCUCUGGUAUCAUCUACAUAAACCAAGUAGGCUCCAAGAUGGCGGCCGUGUUUCAUGCGCUCCAGCAACAAAUGCAAGCAUCACGGCGCGCAGAUUGGUCACCACGUGGGACGCUGCUGUGUAUUUUGAUUGACAGCUGAUGCGACUUUGUGAUGAUGACUGCAGCUCUGCUUUCUUUACAUUUCAGAAAAGCUCUGGACAGUUUUUUGACUUCUCAGAAUUUGACCCAGUCAAAUGCAGGACGUUGUUUCUGUUUAAGGGGGAUCGGGACAGAAGUGAAAAAUAUGGCACAGUCCCGGUCAAAUCGGGACAUCUGAUCACCCUAAUCAGGACACAAAUCAAGAGUGCCCUCAUCUAUAUUUGUCCAAUGCAGAAAAGCAUUGAUAGAACUCCUAUCUGAAAAUGACGAUGGCAGAGGGUCACCUAACAGCGGUUUAAAUAACCAAAAGACUGACCAUAUCCACAAUGUAGUUCAUAUGGACAUAGCACAAUCACCCACAUAUGCUGAAACUCCACAAAUCAUAGACUUGACUGAAGAUGAGGGUGUACAGGAGACCGUGGAUGAAUGGCGAUCCAUACGGUGAAAAUAAUUAACUUUAUCACAAUAUGCUAAUAUUUUGAGAAGGACCUGUAUGAAUGAGUGUGUGCUUGGUUGUUUGUGUGUUGCCCUGCGAUGGACUGGCGAUCUGUCCAGGGUGUACCCCGCCUCUCGCCCAUAGACUGCUGGAGAUAGGCACCAGCUCCCCCGCGACCCACUAUGGAAUAAGCGGUAGAAAAUGACUGACUAUUCCGACAGCCGGAAGCCUUCAAUAAGUAAUCUCCAAAAACCAGAAAGUGGUAGGAAGCAGGACAAAAGGAGUUAAAGAAAGGAAAGAUAGGAAACAAGAGAGGAAGGGUGGUAGGAUACAAGGCUAGGAGGCAAGAAAAGAAGGGGGACACUAGGAAGGAAGGAAGAUCACAAGGGAUGGAGGUAUGAUGAAAUAAGGGAAGGAAGGACACAUGAGCAAGGAAGAAAGAAAGCACACAAGGAAUAGAAAUGAAGAAGAGGAAGAAGGGAGAGACACAAUGUAGAAAGAAAGGAAGGAAGGACACAAGGAAGUAUACACCGAAGGCUGAAAGAAAUCCAGGAAGGACAGAAGAAAGUACGUAUAUAAGGCAGGAAGAAAAUAAAGAAGGUCACCAGAAAGUAUGUAAAAAAGGAAGGAAGGAAGCAAUGCACGAAGAAAGGAUAGAAUUAUUAGUUAAUAGGAGACAGACUAAAUUCUGUCAAGCAAAUAUUUUUUCAUACUCUCAUUUGCACGUUUCAUACUUUUCCAGAGCUGGAAUUCGUGAAAUUAAUCUCCAGGUUUUUCCAGACUGUGUAGGAACCUGGGAUUCACUACUUUUCAUUUCAAACCCCCAUAUUUCUGUCAUACCUGCUUGUGUUUUGGGUUUUUGAGUUUGUGUUUUGUAAUAUUACCUGGUCUAGUCCUUUGUUUUCUGUCUCCCUGCACC